rnacentral:tRNA from 1 species
GGCGCAGUGGCGGAGUGGUUAUCGCGUAUGACUAGAAAUCAUAUUCCUUCGGGAGCGCAUGUUCGAAUCAUGCCUGCGUCG